GACCGACUAGCGUAGCGGUUAACGCGUCUGCUUUACACGCAGAAGAUCGCAGGUUCGAUCCCUGCGUCGGUCA